rnacentral:misc_RNA from 1 species
AAAAAACACAAACAAGAAGCAAAUCGAAGCAAAGAAAAGAAUAGCGAGAAGGGCCAUCGGCAGCCGCUCUCUGAAAGUUGAUGCAACAGCAACUGUUUCUCCGACGGCGAUGUUAGAAACCGACCUUCACGAUUUGUCCGACGAUGCCGAUUACGCAGCCUCACAGCAGCAAGGUUCCGCAAGCAUGAUGCGGACCGAUAGCGGUCGAGGAAGCUCAUCGAGCGUACCUGAAG